rnacentral:rRNA from 1 species
AUACGUAGGGAGCGAGCGUUGUCCGGAAUUACUGGGUGUAAAGGGAGCGUAGGCGGGAGUGCAAGUCAGAUGUGAGAUACAUGGGCUCAACCCAUGGGCUGCAUUUGAAACUGCAUUUCUUGAGUGAAGUAGAGGUAAGCGGAAUUCCUGGUGUAGCGGUGAAAUGCGUAGAUAUCAGGAGGAACACCGGUGGCGAAGGCGGCUUACUGGGCUUUUACUGACGCUGAGGCUCGAAAGCGUGGGGAGCAAACAGGAUUAGAUACCCUGGUAGUCCACGCUGUAAACGAUGAUUACUAGGUGUGGGGGGACUGACCCCUUCCGUGCCGCAGUUAACACAAUAAGUAAUCCACCUGGGGAGUACGGCCGCAAGGUUGAAACUCAAAUGAAUUGACGGGG